AAGGUGGAUAGAAUGUAACACCCCGAGUGUUCAUGCACUCGUUUUGUAGUAUAAAAAAAAAUUUGGACGAAGAGACGAUUGGAAUUAAAGUGCAAUAAUCAGAUAGAAUGUUCUACACCCAUUUAUACACAAGAAAGGAACUUGCUACAUCUUAGCUAUUCUACAAGCCAAAGUCUACAAGUUUGACUCUAGCUAAAAGUGGUAAUGGAACCAAAGAAAGCUUGAAGCAUGAGUCAUCUUCUCUUCCCUUCUCGAUUUUGGGACAACCACAAAAUGCCAAGUUCCACCUUGCAACCUGCCAAGAUACACCAAAAUGGUUAGGAAGAGAUCCCCAAGCAAAGUGAUGACAAGUUAAAAAACCAUUAGGAGAUCAGCUGAGAUACACUCUCCAGGAAGUGAGAUCAGCCAAGGACAUGUCUCCCAAGAAUUUCACCAAUUUGGCAAAAAAUGGCUUUUUAGCUCAACUCAAAAAGAGAGGUGAAUUGCUAGCUCAAAAUAGAAAUUGAAUCUCUCCAAUGCCUUACACCAAUUUAAUAGCGAAGCUUUAAACGCAAAACCAUAAAGGAGAGAGAAUGUUUAACUCAAAUUAUCCACAAAAUGCCAAAAGUGAAGGCCUAUAUAAGAAGCUGCCGUCCCCUCCAUCCUCCACACAUUUCAACACUAAAAUUUAACAUAUCAAGGAGUGCAGCAAGGAGGGGGAGGAAGAGGAGCAAGGAGCGACGGCAGUGGCAGCGCGAGAGUGCAGCCCGGUAAACCGGAGGAAUCACCAAAGCAAGGUUGAGCAGUGAUGACGGCGGGCGGUGUUGAGCAUAGACGAUGAAGAUCCUUCAAUAGAAUAGUACUUGGAUGCGUCGUGUCUCCAUACACGAUGUCAUCUGCUCUUGACUCUUCCGCUGCAAUGUAAAAGUCGAGAUUUCAUUCUCUUGUACCAUGCACUCUGAUUUUUAUAUAUUCCAAGUUAUUUCAGUUCAA